AAAGACUUAGUUAAAUAAAUAACAUUAACUUGUCAAAUUAAAAUUACUUAAAAGUAGUCUUUA
rnacentral:tRNA from 2 species